rfam:Brassica napus, WGS project CCCW01000000 data, contig: 6434
GGAAUAUAAGAAACUGUCUCUUAACUUUUAACUAAAAAAAAGUAAGAGUUGGCUCUUAAAUAAGAUAUUUAAGAACUGGUUAUUAUAUUUUUAGUUAAAAGUUAAGAAACGGUUUCUUAUAUUCU